rnacentral:rRNA from 1 species
CGUGUAGGCUGCUUCGCAAGUCGGAUGUGAAAGCCCUGGGCUCAACCCAGGAAGUGCAUUCGAAACUGCAGAGCUGGAGUCCUGGAGAGGAAGGCGGAAUUCUCGGUGUAGAGGUGAAAUUCGUAGAUAUCGAGAGGAACACCGGUGGCGAAGGCGGCCUUCUGGACAGUGACUGACGCUGAGACGCGAAAGCGUGGGAGCAAACA